rnacentral:piRNA from 1 species
UCCUAUAGAAAUCCGAGUCUG